rnacentral:lncRNA from 1 species
GCAGUUUACUUUGCCGUCCCCGUUCAAAUAUUGUCGAUUUUAAUGAAAAGUAAAGUUGGUAAAAUAAAGGUACGUCAUGUUUCCAUGCGUAAAUCAUAAAUUGUCUGCUAAAAAAUUAGAACGAAUUUUGUAUUUGUAAUUUACAAUGACGACUUUGAGAGGAGAUGUUCACAUUAGUGAUAGACUGUGUGAACGGCAAGCUACACCAAUUAUCCAAAUAUGUGAUACCG